GGUCCCGUCUAUGGUGUAGACAUAGCAUUCACCAGAGGACAAAGCUGAAACACCCUUGGGAGUUGCCCAGCCUUCAGAACUUCAGGAAACACAGUUAUGUUGUUUAAGAAGCACCUAAUCUAGAAUAUUUUGUUAUAGCACCCCAGUGGAUUAAGAUAGACCUGAACUCCCCUACUCUGAAGGAGACAUUAGCGACUGCAGUAUUCAGAGGAGGGUAACCAGGAUGGGAUUGAACCCAUGAGGGGUUCACAAAGAAAUGGAAGAAGAGGCAGCUGUGUCAUGGUGUGUAUUCUCAGGCAUGCAUCUGGCUAUUAAGUAGGCCUUUGAAUUCUUUCCUUCAUGUUAGAAGGGAGAUGGAUGUAGAUUGUCAAAUAAUGAAGGGAUUUAACUUAACUUCAUUCCUUUUUUGGUUCUGGGGAUGGAACCCAGGAUUUUGCUCACAGUGGUAGUUCAGUCUACCAUCUCCUCCCCCAUGACAGAAUCCUAUGCACCCAGAACUGGCUUCCUUUAAGACUGAGCAUGUCCCUUCCCACUUCUUGUUUAGGGAAGGCAAGUUCUGAGGGUCAUUCAGUUAGUUGAUAUGGAAAAUGCAAGGGGACAUCUUUGCUGGUCCACUCCCUUGCUCUCGUUUAUGAAAUUUGAGCCGAUAUUGUUUGGAGAUUUUAUAUGAAUUAAGGUUCUUGACCUUGCUUGAACAACCAAAGCAUCUGUUAAUAUUUGAUAUUUUCUCUGUCGUCUCGCUCCCUCUUUCAUUAUUUCUUAUGAGGUUGCUGAUUGGAGCCAUGUUAGUCUAUUUCAGAUUUAGCAGUUUGGAUUGACCUCUGAUCCCAGGGCUGUCAACUCAUUGACCGGCAGUGACUUGUAGUAAGUGUCAGUGACGUGUACUAAGGCCUGCUGGCAUGGAAAAAAUGAACUCAACCAAUUACAUUUUCUUUGAACUAAGAACUUCAGGGAGAAGCAAUGCAUUUCCAAGGGUUUUGAUGAUCAAGGAACUGUGGAGGAAUCUUGACAGGCCAAGGGCAAGCUGAACUGCUAAAGCUUCUGAAAGAGUUUCUCAUUGAAAUCUGGAGCUCUCCCGUUCCACUAGGCCUGAUGAGCGCCCAGGAUCCUGUGAGCCCCAGGAGACUCCUAUGUGUCCAUCCUCCAGUGAUGGAGUUACUUACACAGAAGUGUUGCUAUGCCCAGCUUCUUACACAAAUCCUGAACCUGACUCCUUGUGCUUGGCAAGCACCUUGCUGAUUGAGCUGUCUCCCCAGAUCCUCAAAAUGAGUUUAUUCUUGGGAGAGCUUAGAAGGAACGGGCAACAGCUGUUGACGUGAGAAGACAAAAAACUUCAGGCCCUGUUCCCCAAUGAAGGCGGCUAGGGAGCCACUCUGAAAAUGUAUUAUUGUGGAGAGCUGCCAACGUUGAUGGUGACUCCUAGCACCAGCUGCACAACCUGAAACAUGUCUCCGCUCAGUCACACAGACUGGAGGGGCACAGAGAGACACAACAUCUGGAAGCACACCUGUGUCCCAGAUCCCCUUCUGCUUCCUUGUCCUUGAGUACAUGGCAGAUCUUACAGAUCUAUGGCUGUUGGAGAGACCACACAUCUAUGUGAGCCAUGUGGGACAAGUGGACCGUGCCACCAGACAGAAGAACUGGUAAGGUUGAAGUAGGUUCAAGACCCCAGGGAAUCUCAGAAUUGAGAAUAGUAGGCAUGGAAACAGCUCCCUGUCAAGCUCCACCUGUCCUGGAACAUGUAACCAUAACAAACCACCGAGAAGACCAUUACAAUUGGUUAGGUUGCAUAAAAACCUAGAGUCCUCCAUGAUAAUGAGGUAUUUAGAUAGGCCCCAAGUGUUUAUCCAAUGGGCUUCCCUACCUGGGCAUUCCUUCCCGCACAGGGAGUUUAAACCUUGGUUCUCCUGAAGUGAGAUGUAUGCAUUCACAGCCUCCACUAAAUACAGCAGUUUGGACAAGCAA